GAUGAACGCUAGCUACAGGCUUAACACAUGCAAGUCGAGGGGAAACGGCAUUGAGUGCUUGCACUCUUUGGACGUCGACCGGCGCACGGGUGAGUAACGCGUAUCCAACCUUCCCAUUACUGUGGGAUAACCUGCCGAAAGGCAGACUAAUACCGCAUAGUCUUCGAUGACGGCAUCAGAUUUGAAGUAAAGAUUUAUCGGUAAUGGAUGGGGAUGCGUCUGAUUAGCUUGUUGGCGGGGUAACGGCCCACCAAGGCGACGAUCAGUAGGGGUUCUGAGAGGAAGGUCCCCCACAUUGGAACUGAGACACGGUCCAAACUCCUACGGGAGGCAGCAGUGAGGAAUAUUAGUCAAUGAACGGAAGUCUGAACCAGCCAAGUAGCGUGCAGGAUGACGGCCCUAUGGGUUGUAAACUGCUUUUGUAUGGGGAUAAAGUUAGGGACGUGUCCCUAUUUGCAGGUACCAUACGAAUAAGGACCGGCUAAUUCCGUG
rnacentral:rRNA from 1 species